CUGCGCGCGCUUGCACCAGGUGCCGCGCCGUCCUUGCCCAGGGCGGCCGGUUCAACGGGAAGCCGGUGCGCGGCGCGGUUCUUCACGGACCGGGUCGUCAUUCCGGCGCUGCCCCCGCAACGGUCAGCGAGGUGCCCUCAGCAUCGCAGCCACUGGUCCGAAGGGACUGGGAAGGCGCUGUCGGCUUCGGUCUCGUCCGCGGGACCGGCACUCGCAAGCCCGGAUACCGGCCUGAUGCUCGGGGAGCUG
rnacentral:ncRNA from 2 species